rfam:Rattus norvegicus chromosome 5, whole genome shotgun sequence.
GGGGAUUUAGCUCAGUGGCAGAGCGCUUGCCUAGCAAGCACAAGGCCCUGGGUUCGGUUCCCAGCUCCG